UAUAAAUACCAACAGAAAACUUAAAAUUGGGUUUUUAUUUUUGUGAAGCUAUGUGUUGUAGAUGAGCAAGUUUGUGUGAAUUGCCACUCCUAUUUGCUAAUUAUAUGCAUUUUUGUUCAUCUCGAUUAAUCCUUGCCCAGCUCAUUUGUAGAGAUAUGUGCAGGUUGUAUUUCUUGAUUAAUCCCUUUAGUUGCUGCUGUUGACGAUGCUGAUUCCCUUAGUUUCUCCACCUUUUUUCUUAAUGUUUCUUGACUAUUUGGUUAAUUUCUGAUAGGAUGGAACUAUAUGUUAUUUCUUUGAUGCUCAUGAAUUGCUUGCAGGUAGAUUUUAGAUACCAAUAGAAAACAAUUUCUUCACACCAGGUUAUCCAUUGCUUUGCAAGCUGAGCUAAUGUGUGUACAAGCAAGAGAGCGUGCUUGCACGACGGCGCCGGUGAUUCUGCCUACCAAGCCGUUGGACCACAGGUUGCUUUGGCCAUCUUUAUGGGUAACUGUGAAAAAGGAUUCGUUGGUGAGGGAGUGAAGCAUCAGUGUAAACCCAUUAUCGAAGUGGCCAUGGCUACGGAAGCCAGCCUGCACUUGAUCUCCAGAUUAUGUUGGAGGUUGCUAGCAGGAAAGAUUGUUAUCGUACGAUCGCGUUUUGGUGGUUUACAGAGGAUGCGCACAAGGAAGGCGGCUUUCGCUGGUGUGUGAUACACUGAUUUCUCACCUCAUGGCUUACAUGGUAGCAGGAAAGAUUUUUAUCGCCCGAUCGCGCUUUGAAUGGUAUAAUUUUUGUGCUUUCUCUAUUGUGCCAUCUAAGAAUGAUAUUAUCUGGUUUCAUUUUCCCCACAAAUGGAUACCACAUAGGUCACACCACGUGCUUCACGAAAUCUUGGACUUACCAAAGUUUUCCAUAGAAAUAAUUAGCUAGCUACUUUAGUGACUAGACGGAUUUGCUUGCUCCCC